AUACGUAUGGGGCUAGCGUUGUUCGGAUUCACUGGGCGUAAAGGGCGUGUAGGCGGCUAUGCAAGUCGGAUGUGAAAUUUUCAGGCUUAACCUGAAAACUGCAUUCGAAACUGCGUAGCUAGAGUACCGGAGAGGGAGACGGAAUUCCUGGUGUAGGGGUGAAAUCUGUAGAUAUCAGGAAGAACACCGGUGGCGAAGGCGGUCUCCUGGCCGGAUACUGACGCUGAGGCGCGAAAGCUAGGGGAGCAAACAGGAUUAGAAACCCCUGUAGUCC
rnacentral:rRNA from 1 species